GCCUUGAAGUCUUUCCACUUGGCCACAGGUGCCCACCUGACUCACCGAAUGUAGUCUAAGGAACCCACUUCCACCUGGAAAGUGCAACCUGGGAUCCUUCUUGCUGAAACCCUAUUGCACUCCACCAAGAUUUUGUUCACGUUUCAUUUGUAGCCAGCUCCACUCAUGCCUCUCAUUGAUAUUCUUUUGUGGUUGCAUUCCAGACUGGAAGAUAAGGGAAUUCAUUGAAGUGUUUCAACUUAGAAAGGUUAUCAUUAACAAUAUUGGCAUCAU
rnacentral:lncRNA from 1 species